rnacentral:misc_RNA from 1 species
CAAAACGUAAGAUCAACUGUCAUAUCGACAUUCUAUUAAGUAGAGGUCUUUGUAGCCAACGAUUUCGAUAAAAGCUCAAGUUGAUACUGGACAUACGCAUUAGCUUUUACUAUUUACACAUACACAUUACACACAUUCAAAAGACAAUACACAGGGUGGGGAUUAUUAUAAAAAGUGAUAAAAAAGUCAAAGUUGUCAAAGACCAUCAGUAAAAAUUUAUUUCUACAUUUUCAGUAUGUAGCAUGAAAUUUUUUGUUUUGUCUCCAUAUUUCAAUCAGUUUAAAAAACAUUAAAACAAAAAUUAAUGCAGUCUAAACCAACAAACAAAUUGAUUAUAAAAUAUAUAUGAAUUAGUGUAAAGUAAAAUUAUUUAUAGCGUGAAAAUACUUAAUUUUAUUGUGAUAUUAAAAUAAAACUUAAGUAUAAAAAAAUAAUAGUUAUGUUUUUGACAAGAAUUUGUUAAAAUUGAAUAAUACGUGUUGGUCAACAGAUAAUCAACCCUGGGAAUGUUGAGAGAUUCUUUAUUUAUUCGUGCAUCAUGUCAAGAGGGAAGUGGUUACUUGAAGCGAGCCAAUCCAGAACGUCUUCACGAAAUCUUCAAUCAGUAUGCAACUCAAGAAAAAGAUGGAGAACGUUUUAUGACCCCCGCUGAUUUUGUACGAAGUUAUCUGGGUUUAUACACAAACGCUGAUUACAAUCCUGAUUCCGUUAACCUGCUUGCAGGAAUUGUUGAUACCAGCAAAGAUGGGCUCAUAUCUUUUGCUGAAUUUCAAGCAUUUGAAGGACUUCUGUGUGUGCCAGAUGCUCUUUAUAAAACAGCCUUUCAACUUUUUGACACUAAUGGAAAUGGAAUGGUUGCAUUUGAGGAAUUUGCUGAGGUAAUGAGAAAGACAGAACUUCAUCAAAGAUUACCAUUUGACAUGAAUGGUAGUUUUAUCAAAUUAUAUUUUGGAAAAGACAAAAAAAGACUAAUAACUUAUGGUGAAUUCAGUCAAUUUUUGCAUGAUUUUCACGAAGAAUAUGCAACAGAAGCGUUCAAAAAGUUCGAUAAAAAUGGUGAUGGUUUUAUCACAGCCGCUGAUUUUCAAGACAUAAUGUUAAAUAUUAAAAGCCACUUGUUAACAAAAGAAGUCCAAAAAAAUUUAAUUGCAGCAGUAAGUACAGGUCAAGGAGGAAGAAAUGUUAGUUUUCCUUAUUUCAUGGCGUUUAAUUCUCUACUCAACAAUAUGGAGUUGAUUAAACGAAUUUAUUUGAAUGCAACUGGUGAUCAUCGGUACCAAGAAGUGACCAAAGAAGAAUUUCUUCAUUCAGCUCAGAUGAUGUCACAAAUAACACCUCUUGAAGUUGAUAUUUUGUAUCAUCUUUGUGAUUUACUUCAUCAAACAAGUAAAAUUAUUUAUAAUGAUUUAACAGCAAUAACUCCAGAGCAAUAUUUCAAACAUAUUACAAAACGUCUUGCUGAAAUAAAAGCUGUAUCAAGUCCUGAAGAACGUGGAAUUGUAACACAAAUACUGGAAAGCAGUUAUCGGUUUGUUCUUGGAUCAAUUGGUGGUGCUGUUGGUGCAACUGUUGUAUAUCCGAUUGAUCUUGUUAAAACACGUAUGCAAAAUCAACGAACAGGAUCAUUUAUUGGUGAACUUAUGUACAAAAAUAGUUUCGAUUGUUGUAAAAAGGUACUAAGACACGAAGGUUUUUCGGGUCUUUAUCGAGGACUAGUGCCACAAUUGAUGGGUGUUGCUCCAGAAAAAGCCAUUAAACUUACUGUUAAUGAUUUUGUACGUGAUAAAUUCAUGGACAAAAAUGGUAAUUUGCCGUUAACCGGAGAAAUAUUAUCUGGUGCAUGUGCUGGAGGAUCACAAGUUAUAUUUACGAAUCCACUCGAAAUCGUUAAAAUUCGUCUUCAAGUUGCUGGAGAAAUCGCUGGAGGCCAAAAAGUUCGUGCAUGGACUGUUGUCAAAGAAUUAGGACUUUUUGGUCUUUACAAAGGAGCUAGAGCCUGUUUGUUACGUGAUGUACCAUUUAGUGCUAUAUACUUUCCAAUGUAUGCUCAUACUAAAAGUAAAUUAGCCGACGAAGGUGGCUACAAUACACCAUUAUCAUUGUUAAUGGCUGGAGCAAUUGCUGGGGUGCCGGCUGCUGCUCUUGUUACACCAGCUGAUGUCAUCAAAACACGAUUACAAGUUGUUGCUAGAGAGGGACAAACAACUUACAAUGGAUUGACUGAUUGUGCUAGGAAAAUAUGGAAAGAAGAAGGUGUUAGAGCAUUCUGGAAAGGAGCAACAGUUGAUCUUUCUCCCCCAUAUUACCCGGCAAUUUAUUAGUCACUCGAGUGUUUAGAUCUUCUCCACAAUUUGGAGUUACAUUAUUCACGUACGAGCUUCUUCAGAGGCUGUUUGUCGUUGAUUUUGGUGGCUCACGACCAGCUGGAUCAGACCUAAAAGUACCAGCAAUGGGUGUUGCGGAUGAGA